GGGCUCAAUUUGAUUUUCUGAUGAUAAUUCUUCAGAAGAUGUUUCAUCAGUAUUUUCUUGGAUUUCAAAAAUUUGAUCAUAAGAAGAUUAUCAUCGUAUUCUGAGGAAGAAUAAGUGGAAACACUCAUUUUAUAAGGGGAUGCUAUAUCCAAGGUUCGAAAUGUAUGAAAAUGUCGAGGUCCCGAUUUUACGGACAUGUCGAUGUCGAUGGAUAUUUCUGGAAAAAUUACGAAAAUAAUGGAUAUUAAUGCAAAUUUUUUAAAUUAGUAAA